rnacentral:lncRNA from 1 species
CAGAGCUACUGGAUCAGAACCCACAUUUUAACAACUCUCCUAGUGAUUUUCAUGCACAGUCAAGUUUGAGGAGUACUGCACUGGAGAACAUUUGGCUAGAAAUAGAAGAGAUCAUAAAAACAACCUUGUCAAAUAGAGAAGUCUGCUUCCUCAACCAGGGUGAUGCAUUGAAUUGUGACACAUGAGGGCCUUUUAAAACUUAUGAUUACUGUUGGAUCUGAUUGUGUCUGUGGAAAGACUUCCCAGCCUUCUUUAGAACUUAGGAGGUGCCUCUGUUCUCAGCAUAGGCAAUAUUAAUCUCAGCUCACAUUGUCUCUGGAUGGGAUUUCUGUUUGAGAAACAAGAACUAGAAUGGACAAGGAAUAUGGAACAUUUUAAAACACGGAAUAGAAAAUGUGUAAGAUACAUUAUCCUUCAACUCAAAGGGCUUUUACAGCAUAAUCUCAGUUAUUGUCAUACCUCCAAAUAUAAGGCUUUUUCAGUGGGAGUAUAUUGUGGACUGACAUAGUAAGUCCAAAUGUUACAGCUUGUUCCUGAGUCUGGUGCCACUAGAAGCCUUGCAGAGGAGUGCCGUCUCUUCCAUGAUUAAGUUCCAGAUACCUAACAGCGUACUGCCCUUUACCAAUCUGAGUCCCAGAGUCUCCAGAUUCAAUAUCUACACUAAUUAAAAGGUUCUUUUAUUCUGUGGUGAUUGUUUGGCUCACUCAUA